CGGUAGUCCACGCUGUAAACGAUGUCUACUUGGAGGUUGUGGCCUUGAGCCGUGGCUUUCGGAGCUAACGCGUUAAGUAGACCGCCUGGGGAGUACGGUCGCAAGAUUAAAACUCAAAUGAAUUGACGGGGGCCCGCACAAGCGGUGGAGCAUGUGGUUUAAUUCGAUGCAACGCGAAGAACCUUACCUACUCUUGACAUCCAGAGAAUUUAGCAGAGAUGCUUUAGUGCCUUCGGGAACUCUGAGACAGGUGCUGCAUGGCUGUCGUCAGCUCGUGUUGUGAAAUGUUGGGUUAAGUCCCGCAACGAGCGCAACCCUUAUCCUUGUUUGCCAGCACGUAAUGGUGGGAACUCCAGGGAGACUGCCGGUGAUAAACCGGAGGAAGGUGGGGACGACGUCAAGUCAUCAUGGCCCUUACGAGUAGGGCUACACACGUGCUACAAUGGCGCAUACAGAGGGCAGCCAACCAGCGAUGGUGAGCGAAUCCCAAAAAGUGCGUCGUAGUCCGGAUUGGAGUCUGCAACUCGACUCCAUGAAGUCGGAAUCGCUAGUAAUCGUAGAUCAGAAUGCUACGGUGAAUACGUUCCCGGGCCUUGUACACACCGCCCGUCACACCAUGGGAGUGGGCUGCAAAAGAAGCAGGUAGUUUAACCUUCGGGAGA
rnacentral:rRNA from 1 species